GGGGCUGUGGCCUAGUCAGGAAGGGCGACGGGCUCCAGACCCGUUAACCGAGGGUUCAAAUCCCUUCAGCCCCA
rnacentral:tRNA from 1 species